AUCCACGUUUCACAUAACCGACCUCUCCCCAAAUUAGGGUUUCAAUCCAAUUUUACUUGAAGAAAGAUAUUAAUCUCCCUAUACACCAUUCCAGGUCUAAAUCCAAGAGCACAACCAUCGACCUUGUCUGCUCCAUAUAUUAGGGUUUUGUUACUUCACCAUUCCAUGGAUUGGAAUCGAUCUUUGAAACUAGGGAUGAGCAUUUGGUACCGGGUGCCGGUACCGGGUAUAUUCAGUACCGGUACCGGUUCCUAUUUUCCCCGUUUUUCAAUACCGGUACCGAUAUUUACGGGUAAAGUAAAUACCGGUACUUUAUAGGUACCAGUAACGAACUGGUAUAUUCGGUACCGGUAUCAAUUUUCCCCACUUUUUGGUACCGGUACUUUCGGUACCGGUUCGGUACCGAACGGGUACCGUGCUAAUCUAUAUUUGCAACCGGUUUUAGUCAAACAUGGUAUGGAACAAAUAUCUGAAACAUACGAUGGCAUUCCCAUGCCCUCAAAGGAGCAAGAGGUCUUGUUUAUUGGUAAAUUUUGCAGGACAUAGCUGAAGCACAGAACAUAUCAUUGCCAUUUGCUUGCAGUGCAUGUGCAGCUCAGGUGUUCGAUAAAAUGUUUGUACCAGAUCGUUGAAUAAAUUGGAUUCGUUGAACAAAAAAGGGCUCUAUAUUUUCCUUUGGUCAUCAGCUCGUCAAAAUUAGGGGCUUUUUUGGAUUGCAAUUUGGUGCAUUUGGAGUCAUGAGCACUGGGGAUUUCCUCAACUUUUAUUUUUCUAAACUUAAGUUUCCAUCUAAAGAUGGGAUGGUGGAUGGCAACAUGCUGCGAUGGCUGCAAUGGUGGAUAGCAGUGGUGCUGCGAGCAGCCUCGUAGUCGAUCCAUAGGUCAAUAAUUGAAAUGUAAACUUGGUUAUCAAGGAGAGCUCGUUAAGGAAAAGGAUGAAGAAAAUGAAAGGUUAUGUGGAAUUAUUACGGGGCUAUUGGCUGAAAAAGAAAAAGAUAACGUGGAUAAACAUACGAUGCUCAAUAGAAUGUCACAAAUUGAAGCUUUGUUAACAGCUAUUGUUCUAAGAUAGGCUAUAAACACUUGGUUUUUAAUGUUUCUAGGUUUAUCAUAUUAGGAUAAUUUCGGUUAUUUGAUAUUUUAGUUGGUAUUUUUUUAUAAGAAUACUUUAUAUGAUUUUGAAACAGGAAAAACUAUGACAGAAA